UUACGGACAUAUCACGUUGAAACACCGAUUCACGUACGAUCACCGAAGUUAAGCAAUGUUAAACCUGGUCUGUACUUAAGUGAGUGACGCCUCGGGAAUAUCAGGUGUUGUACG